AUUGAACGCUGGCGGCAUGCUUUACACAUGCAAGUCGAACGGUAACAGGCCGCAAGGUGCUGACGAGUGGCGAACGGGUGAGUAAUGCAUCGGAACGUGCCCAGUCGUGGGGGAUAACUGCUCGAAAGAGCAGCUAAUACCGCAUACGAGCUAUGGAUGAAAGCGGGGGACCGUAAGGCCUCGCGCGAUUGGAGCGGCCGAUGUCAGAUUAGGUAGUUGGUGGGGUAAAGGCUCACCAAGCCAACGAUCUGUAGCUGGUCUGAGAGGACGACCAGCCACACUGGGACUGAGACACGGCCCAGACUCCUACGGGAGGCAGCAGUGGGGAAUUUUGGACAAUGGGGGCAACCCUGAUCCAGCAAUGCCGCGUGCAGGAAGAAGGCCUUCGGGUUGUAAACUGCUUUUGUACGGAACGAAACGGUCUGGGUUAAUACCCUGGGCUAAUGACGGUACCGUAGAAUAAGCACCGGCUAACUACGUGCCAGCCGCCGCCGUAAGAC
rnacentral:rRNA from 1 species